GGGCGUAAAGCGCACGCAGGCGGUUUGUUAAGUCAGAUGUGAAAUCCCCGGGCUCAACCUGGGAACUGCAUCUGAUACUGGCAAGCUUGAGUCUCAUAGAGGGGGGUAGAAUUCCAGGUGUAGCGGUGAAAUGCGUAGAGAUCUGGAGGAAUACCGGUGGCGAAGGCGGCCCCCUGGACGAAGACUGACGCUCAGGUGCGAAAGCGUGGGGAGCAAACAGGAUUAGAUACCCAUGGUAGUCCACGCCGUAAACGAUGUCGACUUGGAGGUUGUGCCCUUGAGGCGUGGCUUCCGGAGCUAACGCGUUAAGUCGACCGCCUGGGGAGUACGGCCGCAAGGUUAAAACUCAAAUGAAUUGACGGGGGCCCGCACAAGCGGUGGAGCAUGUGGUUUAAUUCGAUGCAACGCGAAGAACCUUACCUGGUCUUGACAUCCACGGAAGUUUUCAGAGUUGAGAAUGUGCCUUCGGGAACCGUGAGACAGGUGCUGCAUGGCUGUCGUCAGCUCGUGUUGUGAAAUGUUGGGUUAAGUCCCGCAACGAGCGCAACCCUUAUCCUUUGUUGCCAGCGGUCCGGCCGGGAACUCAAAGGAGACUGCCAGUGAUAAACUGGAGGAAGGUGGGGAUGACGUCAAGUCAUCAUGGCCCUUACGACCAGGGCUACACACGUGCUACAAUGGCGCAUACAAAGAGAAGCGACCUCGCGAGAGCAAGCGGACCUCAUAAAGUGCGUCGUAGUCCGGAUUGGAGUCUGCAACUCGACUCCAUGAAGUCGGA
rnacentral:rRNA from 1 species